GGUGGCUCAAUGGUUAGAAUGCUUGCCUCACAUGCAUGAGGCCCUGGGUUAAAUUCUCAGCACCA
rnacentral:tRNA from 1 species